GGGGAUAUGGCUCAGUUGGUAGAGUGCUUGCCUUGCGUGUAUAAGGUCCUGGGUUCAAUCCCCAGUACCACAA
rnacentral:tRNA from 1 species